rnacentral:misc_RNA from 1 species
GGUUUUUAUUUUAUACUUUAAACAUUGAUUUUAUUUUUUAUGUUUUUAGAUGUUCAUGUUUUUGAAUGUUUUAUUCGAAUAAUAUAAAAAAUAAAAUAUAUAUAUUGACAUGGAUUAAACAAAGAUAUAUAUUAUUCUAUGUUGUAUAAACAAAUUGGCAAAAUAGAGAUGGAAGA